rnacentral:lncRNA from 1 species
AUGGUGAUACUAGAAUGGUAAUGCUAGAGCAUGAUUCCAUCUCUCUAAAGGAGAGAGUGAAGGCUUUAGAGAACCCUAAGAAGUAGGGUCUAUUUAUCUUAGCAUCCGAUAGGGCAAAUGUUAGUUUUAUUCUUAGUGUGUUUAUUUUUCAAAGUCUGUUUUUGUAAUAAUAAGCCCUAUGUGCAGAUCAUCAUUAUUAUAUAUGUCUUGUCUCUCUGUUGUCUCUCUUUUGUCUCCACCAUGUUGUGAAUUAAGGAUAACAAGAAGGUAGUGUGGGAGAGACACCCGACGAUCAAAUGAAUAAAUUCUCGCAAAAAGUUAACAAAAUUAGAGGAGACAUGACACGAAGACCACGCUCAAUGAAGCUGACCCCAAGGGGCCACUAUCUAAGGGCAGCCGCAACAUUCAUCCUUGGUCGCCCGCCCAGGGGGAGAAGCCCCCGGGUCUCAACUUUGAACCACGGUCAGGUAUGAUUUCUCUAAGUUAUAAAUUUUUAUUAUUACUACUGUUUCGAUUUGGAAUAAAAUAUCUUUACUUAAAUCACCCUAUGCAUAAAUAAUUAAAAAAUGUUUUUUCAUGACCACAAGAUAGACUUAUACCAUGAUAAUUCCUCAUAUUCUUGUUGCCAUUGGGAACAUCAAUAUAGGGACCCCAUAUUACUUAAGUUGUUGCGGAAAGAGAGAUAGUAUGAAUAUGAGAACUCGAUUUCUGAUGUCUAGCCAUUUGUGGAAUUUUACUUUUCAAAAAUCAUAAAAUGAUUAGCUUUACUUUUCCUUUGUGGCAAGAAGUAAUGUCCUACUAGAGCCAUGCAUGAUAGAUAUAAACUAGCUCAUAGGCUACUUGCUUUGUAUUGAGUUUUGUGAAACCAUAUUGACCUAUGUCGAGAGGAUUAUCAUGCUCCUAACAUCAAGAUCACGUACACCCACAUAUAUCUGCUAUUCCUACACCAGGAAUGCGCACUAACAUGCUUUUCCAUCCAAUAAAAAUAUUUUACUCCCACACUUGGAGGAAACACAAAAAGAGUCUUAGUAGGAAUAACUGCUCUAAGUUCUUUAAAAAGUCAUUCUCAAUAUUUUCUGGUUAUAGAAGGAGGUAUGUGGCUAUGCAAAAUAAAAGUAUUGAAAAAGAAAAGAAAAGAAAAGAAAGAAGACAAAAAGAACAAGUGUCCUAGAAAGAAAGAAGAAUAAAAGAUAGCCCAUACCAUCCUGUGCAAAGACCAUUAGUGCUUUAAAGAAAGAAAGACAUUUUCAAAAGAGCAAUGUAGAACUAGAUUGGCCACUAUAUAUUCCACACACAUGCACUUCUUGAUCUAAGAGUAUGCUAUUCCCCUCCAUGGAUCUAUGUUUUGACUUAGCAAGAUAUGCAAGGUAAGUAUGUUGUUUCCUUGAAUUACCUUUAACUCCAUAAGCCUAUAUAGAGUAGGAUGUAUCUAUCUAUUUUGGUGAGUUCCACAAAUACCACAUAUAAUGAGUGAUUCGAGUAUGCUACAUGAUGAAGAAGGGUAAGCUAAGUUUUUCUUUGCAAAAAAUAAAUAUAUUAUAAAACUCCAAGUGACAAGGCUAAAGGAAAACAGAACUCUAUUUUGUAUUGUUCCAUCCUCAACUUCCCAAAGUUUUAUGGUAGACACAUUGAAUCCCACAGUACAGGUAUGACUUGGAAUAAAUCUGGUGCUGUCUUGGUUUGAGGUUAUGAUGAAAAUAGUCUAUCUAUCCUUUUUCCUCGAUGAUGAGUAAAAGAUAAGUGUGGGGGAGUUUGUUGACGGUAGUUAACUCCUAAUUUUAACCAUCAACUUAACAUGAAAAAGGACCAAUUUGUAAGUACUCAGUACAAAUUGGGUUAUCACUAACAGAAUUCCACG